AUGUUCCUUCUUCUGGUGCUUCUCACUGGACUUGGUGGGAUGCAUGCAGACCUCAAUCCUCAUAAAAUCUUCCUACAGACCACAAUUCCAGAGAAGAUUUCAUCAUCGGAUGCAAAAACAGAUCCAGAACAUAAUGUUAUUUACAUGAUUACCAUAGGGAAAGCCAUAUUUUGUCCAUCUCAAAAAGCAAUCAAUUUUAUCUUCAGCUUCUGUUAUUAAUUCUUAUGACGAAAAUGACAUCCGUCAUUCCAAACCUCUGCUAGUUCAGAUGGAUUGCAUUUAUAAUGGAUAUGUUGCGGGUAUUCCAAAUUCUCUUGUGACUCUCAGCGUAUGUUCAGGACUCAGGGGAACAAUGCAGCUGAAAAACAUCUCAUAUGGAAUUGAACCGAUGGAGGCUGUUAUCAGGAUUUAUACACAAGAUUUAUGAAGAAAAAUAUGCUGACACUAAUAUUCUCUUAGAAGAAAAUGACACUUAUACUUGGUUUAAUUCAGAGUAUCAAGUCAGAAAAAGUUCAGAAAAAACUGACUUUAUUAAGUUAUUCCCUCGAUAUAUUGAAAUGCAUAUUGUUGUGGACAAAAAUUUG
ensembl:lncRNA novel transcript